rnacentral:rRNA from 1 species
GACGUAGGAGGCGAGCGUUAUCCGGAUUCACUGGGUACGGUAAAGCGCAAGUAGGCGGUUGUGAAAGUCCGAUUGUUAAAGGCCCCUGGCUCAACUGGGGGAGGUCAAUGGAGACUUUAUGACUUGAGGGCAACAGAGGCAUGUGGAACUCCCGGUGUAGCGGUGGAAUGCGUAGAGAUCCGGAGGAACACCAGCGGCGAAGGCGGCAUCCUGGACUGGUCCUGACACUCAGGAGCGAAAGCGUGGGGAGCGAGUCCGG